GACGUAGGGCGCGAGCGUUGUCCGGAUUUAUUGGGCGUAAAGAGCUCGUAGGCGGCUUGUUGCGUCGGCUGUGAAAACCCAUGGCUCAACCGUGGGCUUGCAGCCGAUACGGGCAGGCUGGAGUUCGGUAGGGGAGACUGGAAUUCCUGGUGUAGCGGUGAAAUGCGCAGAUAUCGUAAGGAAGACCAGUGGCGAAGGCGGGUCUCUGGACAGUUCCUGACGCUGAGGCACGAAGGCCAGGGGAGCAAACGGG
rnacentral:rRNA from 1 species